ensembl:lncRNA
AAAGGAUCUAAAAUAUGGUCAUGCACAAUAAGGCAUUAAUAUGUGCUUUAUAUAAUAAUAUAUCAUAUACUAAUAAUAUAUAAUAAUAAUAAUAAUAAUCAGCUAAUAUGCUAAUCAUACUAAUAAGCAACUAGUUAAUAUUGAGAAUUGCUCCGUAAAAGUAAUAUUAAUAAAACUUAAUAUUUAAAUGUCAAAUUAAUCAAUUGUGUAGUGUUCAAAAAAACUAAGGAAUUUGUAAUUAAUCUACUAAUCAGACUUGUAAAAAUAUAUACAAUUGUUUUUAUAUUUAAAUAUUAGAAAACACUAUUAAGAAAACAUUUCUGGUCUUUUUAUAAUAAAUAAUAUUCCCCUUUUCCACCUUUGUUAAAAUGUAUCCAUCUAUUUAUCUAUCAAUCUAUCAAUAUUUUUAUCUAAUAUUAUUUUAUCAACUUUUAUUUUGUUUUACAAAUGAUUUUUGAAAUACAUUUUCACCAUGUUUGUUGUUUUAUAAAAGUAUAUAAAGAACUCUUUUCACUUGUUCCAGAACAUUUCAUUUGUGGAUUCGCUUUGGCUGGCUGGGGUGUAGAAGAGAAAUGACCAACAGGAGCAAAGGGAAAGAUUUCAUUCCAAAAUGUGCAAAUAGUUUCCCCUUCUCAUUUCCUCUCCUGCACACAGAUCUACAAAUGUGUUCCUCCGGAGCUGAUUACCCUCCCUAGGAUCCGUUUUGGUGGUGAGGCGCGGCCGAGAGAGCGUGAGAGGGGACAACCGGAGGGACAGCAGGAGGGAGCGAGGCAAGAGCGGAGAGGGAGUUCGACGCGGAAGACAUGGACUGGCUGUUUGAUGGCCAUUCCAGCUGAACAAACAAAACACCCGGCGAACCUGGGAGUUGGAAAUAUGUGCGGGUUUGCUACGAGGUCAGAUUCCUAACCGUCUCUAAUUCAAUUUUACAAACAGUAAGAAAACACAGAGUUCGGAGCCUCGGUCUCCUUACAAACAACACACAUACACAGUUAAACAAAACAAGGAGGAUUUUAUCUGUUACCUAAAAGCGGAGAGGCAACGGGGUCAAGUGGUUCUGAAACGAGUCCAUUUGGGUU